CCCUUAGAUGUUCGGGGCCGCACGCGCGCUACACUGAAGGAAUCAGCACGUCUUUCUCCUUGUCCGAAAGGACUGGGUAACCCGCUGAACCUCCUUCGUGCUAGGGAUUGGGGCUUGUAAUUCUUCCCCAUGAACGAGGAAUUCCCAGUAAGCGCGAGUCAUAAGCUCGCGUUGAUUACGUCCCUGCCCUUUGUACACACCGCCCGUCGCUACUACCGAUUGGAUGGUUUAGUGAGAUCCUCGGAUUGGUCCCGGCGCGGCCUCUGGUCGUGCCGGAGUGCCGAAAAGAAUGUCGAACUUGAUCAUCUAGAGGAAGUAAAAGUCGUAAC
rnacentral:rRNA from 1 species